CUGGUGACCAACCUCAUGCUGAUGAGUUGCAUUAACAACGAAACAGCUGUCCAUGAGUGGUUCACUUCUUUUGC
rnacentral:sRNA from 1 species